UACGGGGGGGGCAAGCGUUGUUCGGAAUUACUGGGCGUAAAGGGUUCGUAGGUGGCCAACUAAGUCAGACGUGAAAUCCCUCAGCUUAACUGGGGAACUGCGUCUGAGACUGGAUGGCUUGAGUGCAGGAGAGGAACGCGGAAUUCCAGGUGUAGCGGUGAAAUGCGUAGAUAUCUGGAGGAACACCGGUGGCGAAGGCGGCAUCCUGGACCGGUAUUGACGCUGAGGCGCGAAAGCCAGGGGAGCAAACGGG
rnacentral:rRNA from 1 species